CCAGACCCAACGGACUUGACAUGGCAAGAGUACAUUCAUACGAGUUCAACAGGGGCACGACGGCCUCAAAAGUCCAUUCACUUCGUCACGGGGUGGGGUGAUACUUUUGGCUGGUUAUUUAGGUGAUAACGGUUCUGGCUCGGCGCAUCCAUGGUCACCAGCUGGCCGUCAAGCUCUAGCCCAUGGCGUACUUCUGUGUCCAGGAGCGCGCCGUGGACUCAUACUUGGCCCUAUCAGUCUUGUACAUGUGAGCGAUCUCGGGCACCAGAGGAUCAUCGGGGUUCGGGUCCGUCAGCAACGAACAGAUUGACAGCAGGACCUGUUAACAGACAGGUAAACGUUAGAGAAACAUAACUGAAGAUUGUUGUGAGAUGAUGUUGCAAAGAAACCAAACUUAUAUCAGCAACAAGCUUUAAGCAAAAAAUGAAACGUCCAAGCUAGGAAUGCAGAUCAUUACCUUUGAUAUGGUCAAAGCCGGGCUCCACUGUUCCUUGAGAAUGUCAAGGCAAAUGCUGCCGUUGCUGUUGAUGUUUGGGUGGAACACCUUGGUGCGGAAAGAGACCUGAAAUAUGUUAAAGUCCGAAUGUCAGACAAAAAUAGAUGCAUAGCAGGCAGCAGCAACCCAGUUGUUUGAGGAGCCCCAAGACAUUCGUGUAACAGCAAUUCCAGCAUCAAAGGAUCAAGAUGAACUAUUUUUUUACAAAGGUCAGUUCAGUACACUGGAAAUUACCUUCGGGGGCUUGAAGGGGUAAUCCGGUGGGAAAUGAAUGUUCACCAAAAAUAGGCCACCGGUGAACGGGCUGUCCGAGGGUCCCAUGAUAGUGGCCUGCCAGUGGAACAUGUCCUCACCUACAGGACCUGCCCAGAUAAAAGGAGAGAAAUACAGUAUUACACAACAGUCAGACAAACACAUUCGUACCAAGCCAGUCAAGUAUUGAGUAAGAAACAAGUCUCAUUUGCUGCGAGAUCAAAUAGUUUCUAGAUUUAAUUGUGUGAACAAGUUCAAAAUUAGAAAUGACAUUAUGUUAUCAAGGGUUAUCAAUCCUAUACACAUCCAGUACAAUGAUUAGAAUAAUUCAAAGUUCAUUGAUUUUAAUUUCAAGAGGUUAGUGGAACAAACUGCUGUAUUAAAUAACAUCAAGACACCCAGGAGGCCAGGACAUCCACUGUAGCCAGAUCUCCAUUAAAACACAGAACAUCAGGUUUACACACAUUAUGAAUGUUAAAGUUACUUCAGUAAUUUUAUUUAUUCCUAUAUGCAUUGAUAGACCAAAGAAAACAGGUGACCAUUACAACCACCAGCUACUAAAACAUAGGCCACUCAAUUAGUUUUACACAACAUUAACAAUGCUAAAGUUGCUCCAGUAAUUAUAUUUCUCCCAGCAUGCACUGAUAGACAAGGGAAAACAGGUGAUCAUUGCAACCUACUAAAACAUAGGCCACUCUUGACAAUUCUCUCUAUUGAUUAGGCUAGUACUGUUUAUGUUCUUUAAAUCAGGUUUAAACAUUAACAAAGCUAAAGUAGCUUCAGUAAGUAUAUUUAUUCCAGUAUGCAUUGAUAGACCAAGGAAGAAAAGCGACCAUUGCAAGUCACCUACUAAAACAUAGGCCACUCUCGACAAUUCUCCCUAUGGAUUUGGUUGGCACUGUUUAUGUUUCUUAAAUGGUCUAGUCCAUGCCUAACAGAUAAGGUUGGUACAGUAUGUUUAAUAAGUAGUCCUAGUCCAUGCAUAACUGUCCAUAUAAACUGCAAGUCCUUGGCGAUUUUAAUUUCUUCUGGUUAAUGGCAGUUAAGAUAGCAUAUAGUGCCACAGGGUGGUGCAUGUUCCGCCCAUGUGGCACUGACCUAAUGAGCUGUUGACAGUAAACUGUAAUAAGGUUGGCAUACCUUAACAUAACAGAACAAAAUCCAAGGGUUUUUUUAAUGGCCUGCUCAGAAGAUACAUCACACACAUGACAUGAGUCAAUCAUAUUAAUAGGCCAUGCACAGUUCAUAAGCAGUAUUCUCCACCAAUCAAUUCAGCAAACCUAAAAGCACUGCGCGAGCACAGCUAAACAAUCGACAACCUAACCCCCAUGACCAGAAACUAACAACCAAGACCACGCAAACGGCGCGCCCAUCCUGACGCAAUUCUACUCGGGGCGAGAUCUAGACGGAAUCGAACGGGGCGGAGGGGAAAUCACCUGCGCUGCAUGAGGUGGGAGGGUCCUUCUGCAGGUCCUUGAGCUCCUUGAGGAUCCUCUUGGACGCCAUGGGAUCAAACCCUAAAUCACCGAAAUCCGGCACAGAUCAGGCCCUAGAAAACAGAUCGAACAGAGGGACGGGGUGUGGCGUCGCGCGUACCGACCGGCGGGGGCGACGGGGCCGGCGGUGCUGCGGCGGUGGGCGGCGGCCGCCUCUCCCCUCUGCGGCGGCGGACGGCGGUUGGGGACCACGGGGCAAGAGGGGGCGAGAAGGAGUCGGAGGAUUUGGGUGUGGGCAGGCCGGGGGCGCAUUAUAUAGGGCGGAGGGGCGGCCUCGGCCGUCCGAUCGCGGAUCGACGGCCGCCCGCGGCUCGCGUGAUGCUUACGCUGGACGCGCACAGAUUCGCCCCCCUUUCGGUGCUUUUCGGGUGGGGAGGGAAAUAAGAAGGUUUUUUUGGGGAAAUUUCGCAAACAAGACGCCAUUAGCCCUGAGCCGGUGACGAUGACAGGUGGGGCCGGUCCCAACUCUAGGGUAUUUGGAGGUAGUGAUUCCCUUGAUGAAGAGUAACAUUUUUUCUCUCUACUACUUAUACAGUACUUCCUCCGUUUCUAAAUAUAAGUCUUUUUAGAGAUUUCAAUAUGGAGUGUACAUUCACUCGUAUGUAGUCCGUAGUGGAAUUUUUAGAAAGACUUGUAUUUAGGAACGGAGAGAGUACUUAUAAAAGGUGUUCUUUUCCAAAGUGAUUCGUCCAACCUUACAUACGUUUUUCCUCCUUCUUUUCUUUUUGAUUUUCCUCUGUCUUUGGGGUUUUUCACCGAUUUCCCAUGAAACCCGUCUUAAAUAUCCCACCUUUUAUUGAGUUAACAAAUAAAAUUAUGUUGUCUUUCAUAAACCAAUAAAAAAUGAUAAAAACAUGAUUUUUGUUUAGGUAGUCAUUGGUAGGGCUUUUUAAAACAUUUAUUUACAAUCCAUCGGGGUUUAAGUAAUAGACUUGGCACACGUGCACGCAUUUUUCUGGAUUUAUUUUAGACAUUUCGGCAAUGUUUAUCCAGUUAGAGGAGACGUUCCGUACGACUACGAAACGUCUGUGGUGACUUUGUUAAUCUUAAUAUGUUAUGUCGGCUCAGUAUCUUUGGGUGAGUAUAUAUAUGCGUAUGAGAGCAUUUGCGGAUUGUAUUGUGUACCAAAAUAAUAUGGGUCGGUAAAUCAUGGACUAACAUACUAGAAUAUUUAUAGCAUGUGACAAAGCAUGAGCAAUUGUCUAUGUCAUUUAGAAAAUAGUGUCGCUCCUACUGCCAGACAAAGUAUUUCGUCCAAUCUUAUAUACGUUUUCCCUCCCUCUCUCCGUUUUAAUUUUUCCUCUCCUAUUUUAUUCAUUGUUUUAUUUCAAAAUCGUCUUAACUAUUCCAUCUUUAAUUGUCUUAUUUCAAUAAGUUCUUACCAAAUACUUCCUCCUUUUGGAGGGACGAGGCUCCUCUGCCGUUCGGCAGGGUGCCGUUCCAUCCCUGACAGGUGGGCUCAUUGAAAAACAGGCCCACAUGGCAGUGCCACAACUGCAGGUGAUGUACGUCAGGGGAGCCGCUUCCCUUUUGGAGAUACUUGUCGGAGUAAUGGAUGGAUGUAUCUAGACGUAUUUUAGUUUUAGAUACAUCCAUUUUUAUCCAUUUCUCCAACAAGUAUUUUUAUUUAGGUAGAUAAACCAUAGGCGGAAAUUUAUAAAUAUUUAUUUGUAUAAUCACAUCAGGGCAAGUAAAAACACGAGCUAAUGUAUUAAAUAUUUAUAUCAAUGUGAUGCGUGGAUAAUUAUCUAGUGAAGGAAAGAAGAAAAGGAAGAUGACGAGAGACCAUGCUGGAUGAAUAUCCUUUUUUGUGCGGAAAAGGAACUUUCCAUUCAUCAACUAGGGGCCAUGGCGGUGCGGUGGAUCUCGGCCCUUACCAGCGAGAGGGCUCUAUUUUCAAUUGUUCCUUUGCGUUUUUAUUAGGUUUAUGUCCUGCUCAGGAAGACGAGACGACGGCGGCUCCCUGAAGAUGGAAUAAGAUUAUCCCCGCCUAGCCCCCGUCCUUGGCGUGUGCAGGUGUGUCUCCGGCAAAUCUGUCCUUGGUGGAUUUGCUCGAAUCUAGUCGUAGUUCGUCCACAUUCAUCUGUCUUCAGGUUCGAUCCUUCCGAUCUACGUUAUUCUUCAUCGGCGGCGGUUGCUGUUUUGCUGCGCUGGUCCUACAGGGCCUUAGCACAACGACUUCCUGACUGCCUACUACUACAAGGUUUGCCCGGCUCUGGCGAGAGAGGGGUGAUGACGGCAGCGCGCCUUCGGCUCGCUUCGGUGAUUGUAGUCGUCGCUAUGUGGUCUACGGAUCUGAAUGUAAUUUUUUAUUUAUUGUGUUUGUUGUACUGUCAUAAUUGAAGAUAAAUAGAUCGAAAGUUUUCUCGCAAAAAAAGCUAGGGGUGUUAUAGUCUCGAUUAUAUAAAGGAGAAUCUCCUCCGGUGCAUGGUAUACCCAAAUAGUCGUACGAGUCAUACCCGUCUGAACAAGCUUAUGGAUGACAGUGAUGCUACUGGAAUUUUCUGUGAUCCCUCUCAAAUUCUGACUUGGUUACUGAAAGUUCCAAGUUAGGCCUAACAAACUAGAAAGAAAACAGUACAUGUUUAUAUUCUAUACACAAUUAUACUAAAAGAGAUGUUUAUAAUUUCCAAAAGGGAAUACUCAACAAAUUUUAUGGAUACAUAAUAGUAGUUUGUUAGUAAAACCGCGGAUAGAAAACGUGAUAUAUCUCCCAUUGACAAAAUAGGGAAAAGUCAAAUUGGUAGCACGUGGCAGACAACAUUUGGUAGUAAUACCUUUUGGUUUCUGGGAGUAUAUACACCCUGUAUGAGUUUUUUUAAUAACUACAAAAAAAGUUUAGUUUUUUUGAAUAAACUAGAUUUCUUGCAUUAGUAUAUAAACUUUGUCAAACAAAAACCAAGCGUUGAGAAAAACAAAUUUUAUUUGCUAUUAUAGGUCACUAUUCACACUAUUUUGGCUGAAAAGUCUUGCUACCUCUUAAGCAUGCGUUGGUUUCCCUUGAAGAGGAAGGGUGAUGCAGCAAAGUAGCGUAAGUAUUUCCCUCUGUUUUUGAGAACCAAGGUAUCAAUCCAGUAGGAGACUACACGCAAGUCCCUCGUACCUGCACAAACAAAUAAGAACCUUGCAACCAACGCGAUAAAGGGGUUGUCAAUACUUGCAAAAGUGAGAUCUGAUAGAGAUAAAAGAUAAAUAUUUUUGGUAUUUUUAUGAUAUAGAUUGAAAAGUAAAGAUUGCAAAAUAGUAAACGAGAUGUAAUAUGAUAAAAAGAGACUCGGGGGCCAUAGGUUUCACUAGUCGCUUCUCUCAAGAUAGCAAAUUCUACGAUGGGUGAACAAAUUACUGUCGAGCAAUUGAUAGAAAAGCGCAUAGUUAUGAGAAUAUCUAGGCAUGAUCAUGUAUAUAGGCAUCACGUCCGCGACAAGUAGACCGAAACGAUUUUGCAUCUACUACUAUUACUCCACACAUCGACCGCUAUCCAGCAUGCAUCUAGAGUAUUAAGUUCAUAAGAACAGAGUAACGCAUUAGGCAAGAUGACAUGAUGUAGAGGGAUAAACUCAAUCAAUAUGAUAUAAACCCCAUCUUCUUAUCCUCGAUGGCAACAAAAAAAUACGUGCCUUGCCGCCCCUGCUGUCACUGGGAAAGGACACCGCAAGAUUGAACCCAAAGCUAAGCACUUCUCCCAUUGCAAGAAAGAUCAAUCUAGUAGGCCAAACCAAACUGAUAAUUCGAAGAGACUUACAAAGAUAUUUAAAUCAUACAUAAAAGAAUUCAGAGAAGAAUCAAAUAUUGUUCAUAGAUAAUCUUGAUCAUAAAACCACAAUUCAUCGAAUCUCGACAAACACACCGCAAAAAGAAUUACAUCGAAUAGAUCUCCAAGAGAAUCGAGGAGAACUUUGUAUUGAGAUCCAAAGAGAGAGAAGAAGCCAUCUAGCUAAUAACUAUGGACCCGAAGGUCUGUGGUAAACUACUCACACAUCAUCAGAGAGGCCAUGGUGUUGAUGUAGAAGCCCUUCGUGAUCGAUUCCCCCUCCGGCGGAGCGCCGGAAAAGGCUCCAAGAUGGGAUCUCACGGGUACAAAAGGUUGCGGCGGUGGAAAUAGAGUUUCGUGGUGCUCUCGAUGUUUUCGGGGUAUAUGAGUAUAUAUAGGCGAAAGAAAUAGGUCGGUGGAGCCACGAGGGGCCCACGAGGGUGGGGCGCGCCUACCCCCUUGGGCGCGCCCUCCUACCUCGUGGCUGCCUCGUUCCUUCCUUGACGUCCACGCUAAGUCUCUUGGAUUGCGUUUGUUCCAAAAAUAACUCUUCCGAAGGUUUCAUUCCGUUUGGACUCCGUUUGAUAUUCAUUUUCUGCGAAACACUGAAAUAGGCAAAAAAACAGCAAUUUGCAUUGGGCCUUUGGUUAGUAGGUUAGUCCCAAAAAUAAUAUAAAAGUGCAUAAUAAAGCCCAUUAAACAUCCAAAACAGAUAAUAUAAUAGCAUGGAACAAUCAAAAAUUAUAGAUACGUUGGAGAUGUAUCAAGCAUUUUCAAGCUUAAUUCCUGCUCGUCCUCGAGUAGGUAAAUGAUAAAAACGGAAUUUUUGAUGUGGAAUGCUACCUAGCAUAAUUCUCAAUGUAAUUUUCUUUAUUGUGGCAUGAAUGUUCAGAUCCGAAAGAUUCAAGACAAAAACUUAAUAUUGACAUAAAAAUAAUAAUACUUCAAGCAUACUAACAAAGCAAUCAUGUCUUCUCAAAAUAACAUGGACAAAGAAAGUUAUCCCUACAAAAUCAUAUAGUCUGGCUAUGCUCUAUCUUCAUCACACAAAGUAUUUAAUCAUGCACACCCCCGAUGACAAGCCAAGCAAUUGUUUCAUACUUUUGAUGUUCUCAAACUUUUUCAAUAUUCACGCAAUACAUGAGCAUGAGCCAUGAACAUAGCACUAUAUGUGGAAUAGAAUGGUGGUUGUGGAGAAGACAAAAAGGAGAAGAUAGUCUCACAUCAACUAGGCAUAUCAACGGGCUAUGGAGAUGCCCAUCAAUAGAUAUCAAUGUGAGUGAGUAGAGAUUGCCAUGCAACGAAUGCACUAGAGCUAUAAGUGUAUGAAAGCUCAACAAAACAAACUAAGUGGGUGUGCAUCCAACUUGCUUGCUCACGAAGACCUAGGGCAUUUUGAGGAAGCCCAUCAUUGGAAUAUACAAGCCAAGUUCUAUAAUGUAAAAUUUCCACUAGUAUAUGAAAGUGACAACAUAGGAGACUCUCUAUCAUGAAGAUCAUGGUGCUACUUUGAAGCACAAGUGUGAUAAAAGGAUAGUAACAUUGUCCCUUCUCUCUUUUUCUCUCAUUUUUUUAUUUGGGCCUUUUUCUCUUCUUAUUUUAUGGCCUCUUUUUUUUCUUUUCUUUUUUUUCUUUUCAUCCGGAGUCUCAUCCCGACUUGUGGGGGAAUCAUAGUCUCCAUCAUCCUUUCCUCACUUGGGACAAUGCUUUAAUAAUGAUGAUCAUCACACUUUUAUUUACUUACAACUCAAAAAAUUACAACUCAAUACUUAGAACAAAAUAUGACUAUGUGAAUGCCUCCGGCGGUGUACCAAGAUGUGCAAUGAAUCAAGAGUGACAUGUAUGAAAGAAUUAUAAAGGUGGCUUUGCCACAAAUACGAUGUCAACUACAUGAUCAUGCAAAGCAAUAUGACAAUGAUGGAGCAUGUCAUAAUAAACGGAACGGUGGAAAGUUGCGUGGCAAUAUAUCUUGGAAUGGCUAUGGAAAUGCCAUAAUAGGUAGGUAUGGUGGCUGUUUUGAGGAAGGUAUAUGGUGGGUGUAUGAUACCGGCAAAUGGUGCGCGGUAAUAGAGAGGCUAGCAAUGGUGGAAGGGUGAGAGCGCGUAUAAUCCAUGGACUCAACAUUAGUCAGAAUGAACUCACAUAUUUAUUGCAAAAAUCUAUUAGUUAUUGAAACGAAGUACUACGCGCAUGCUCCUAGGGGGAUAGAUUGGUAGGAAAAUACCAUCGCUCGUCCCCGACCGCCACUCAUAAGGAAGACACUCAAUAAAUAAAUCAUGCUCCGACUUCAUCACAUAACGGUUCACCAUACGUGCAUGCUACGGGAAUCACAAACUUUAGAACAAGUAUUUCUCAAAUUCAUAACUACUUCAACUAGCAUGACUCUAAUGUCGCCAUCUUCAUAUCUCAAAACAAUUAUCAAGUAUCAAACUUCUCAUAGUAUUCGAUGCACUUUAUAUAUAUGAUAGUUUUUAUUAUACUCAUCUUGGAUGUUCAUCAUAUUAGGACUAAUUUUAUAGCCAAAGCAAAUUACCAUGCUGUUCUAAGAGACUCUCAAAAUAAUUUAAGUGAAGCAUGAGAGAUCAAUAAUUUUUAUAAAAUAAAACCACCACCGUGCUCUAAAAGAUAUAAGCGAAGCACUAGAGCAAAAUUAUCUAGCUCAAAAGAUAUAAGUGAAGCACAUAGAGUGUUCUAAUAAAUUCCGAUUCAUGUGUGUCUCUCCAAAAGGUGUGUCCAGCAAGGAUGAUUGUGGUAAACUAAAAAGCAAAGACUCAAAUUAUACAAAACGCUCCAAGCAAAGCACAUAUCAUGUGGUGAAUAAAAAAUAUAGUAUCAAGUAAAGUUACCGAUAGACAAAGACGAAACAGGGGAUGAAGCUUAGGCUUUUGGUUGUCCUUGAAUUUUACCUUGGGGUGCCUUGGGCAUCCCCAAGCUUAGGCUCUUGCCACUCCUUGUUCCAAAACCCAUCAAAUCUUUACCCAAAAACUUGAAAACUUCACAACACAAAACUCAACAGAAAAUCUCAUGAGCUCCGUUAGCGAAAUAAAACAAACCACCACAUUAAGGUACUGUAAUGAACUCAUUAUUUAUUUAUAUUGGUGUUAAACCUACUGUAUUCCAACUUCUCUAUGCUUCAUACCCCCCGAUACUAGCCAUAGAUUCAUCAAAUAAGCAAACAACACGCGAAAAACAUAAUCUGUCAAAAACAGAAUAGUCUAUAGUAAUCUGUAUCAAACGUAAACUUAUGGAACUCCAAAAAUUCUACCAAAUUAGGAAGUCUUAAGUAAUUUUUUUAUUAAUCUACUGCAAAAAGAAUCAACUGAAAAGCACGUUUCUGUGAUUUAUGAAAACUAAUCUUGUGCGCGCAAAGUUUCUGUUUUUUACAGCAAGAUCAAAUAACUAUCGCCGUAGGUUAUCCUAAAGGUUCUACUUGGCACAAACACUAAUUAAAACACAAACACCACAAUCAUAGCAGUAGCAUGAAGGAUUAUUUAUUACUAAAUAGAAACAAAAAGCAAGAAACAAAAAAUAAAAUUGGGUUGCAUCCCAACAAGCGCUAUCGUUUGACGCCCUAGCUCGGCAUAAAAGCAAGAAUAGAUCUAGGUAUUGCCAUGAUAAUGAUAACGCAAAUCGCAAAAACUCAUCUCAUACUCCCUACGUUCAGCAGCAAGUUUUCUUUGUGGCAAGUAAAAGUAAUCAAAAGGGCUAAAUUUAAUGGGACAAAAGUCCCCAAGAUCAAGCUCGGGAGGUAUUGGUACCUCCUUUGGCCCCUCAUAUUGCACAACCAAUUCAUCGUUAUAAGCAUUCUUUUGGCAAAAAGUCACGAGCCUUUGUUCAAGAGAAAAACCUAACCCAUUGUUCUGGAUAGCAAAGUUAUCAUUAAAUUCAGAAAUCUUGUUAACUAGAACAUCGGUAGGGACCUUUUUUCUAAGGUUUUCAUUAAAAGCAACAUGAUCUAAAGAUCGUAAGCGCAUUAUGUCUUCUUGAUAAAAAAGGAUCGCUUCUAUGGGAGGACGGCAGGCAUCCACCCUAUAAUGUGCAAAGAUUUUGUUUGCUUCUUUUAUUAUAAAUCUGAACUCAUGAGCUAAAAAGAUGGUAGCUGCACGCUUAACAGAAGAAUGCUCAAUAUUGGAAAAUUCUAGAAAAAUCCUCUGUAUCCAAGGAUGCAUGUGGAUAAAUUGUAUUUCAAGUUCAACCACAAGCAAAGAUAUAGCAUCCGCAAGACUACUAGUUUUGUGAAGAAUAGACCCGCCCAUAGUGGGCAAAGCACCGGCGCAAGUAAAGAAAUCUUGAAUAACUCCUUUUCCAAUAAUAUUACCACUACCAAUCCGAAACUUUUUAGUGUGUAAAAUAAUAGGUUCUUCAUGAGCAUUAUCAAAAGCAUCAAAGUUUUCCAUGUUAUUUCCAUUAUCCUUAUCAACGAUAACCUCCCCAGUUUCGGACAUGAUGGCGGCAAAUUGCACAAAGAGCGAGCACACAAAAGGUAAGCAAAAAGAGACGAUCGGAGAAAAAAAAGGGCGAAUAAAACGGCAAAGGUGAAGUGGGGGAGAGGAAAACGAGAGGCAAAUGGCAAAUAAUGUAAUGCGAGGGAUAAGAGUUUGUGAUGGGUACUUGGUAUGUCUUGACUUGUGCGUAGAUCUUCCCAGCAACGGCGCCAGAAAUCCUUCUUGCUACCUCUUGAGCAUGCAUUGGUUUUCCCUUGAAGAGGAAAGGGUGAUACAGCAAAGUAGCGUAAGUAUUUCCCUCUAUUUUUAGAACCAAGGUAUCAAUCCAGUAGGAGACUACACGCAAGUCCCUCGUACCUGCACAAACAAAUAAGAACCUUGCAACCAACGCGAUAAAGGGGUUGUUAAUUCCAUCACGGCCAGUUGCAAAAGUGAGAUCUGAUAGAGAUAAAAAGAUAAUUUUUUUUGGUAUUUUUAUGAUAUAGAUUGGAAAGUAAAGAUUGCAAAAUAGUAAACGAGAUGUAAUAUGAUAAGAAAGAGACCCGGGGGCCAUAGGUUUCACUAGUGGCUUCUCUCAAGAUAGCAAAUUCUACGGUGGGUGAACAAAUUACUGUCGAGCAAUUGAUAGAAAAGCGCACAGUUAUGAGAAUAUCUAGGCAUGAUCAUGUAUAUAGGCAUCACGUCCGCGACAAGUAGACCGAAACAAUUCUGCAUCUACUACUAUUACUCCACACAUCGACCGCUAUCCAGCAUGCAUCUGGAGUAUUAAGUUCAUAAGAACAGAGUAACGCAUUAGGCAAGAUGACAUGAUGUAGAGGGAUAAACUCAAGCAAUAUGAUAUAAACCCCAUCUUUUUAUCCUCGAUGGCAACAAUAAAAUACCUGUCUUGCUGCCCCUGCUGUCACUGGGAAAGGACACCGCAAGAUUGAACCCAAAGCUAAGCACUUCUCCCAUUGCAAGAAAUAUCAAUCUAGUAGGCCAAACCAAACUGAUAAUUCGAAAAGACUUGCAAAGAUAUUUAAAUCAUACAUAGAAGAAUUCAGAGAAGAAUCAAAUAUUGUUCAUAGAUAAUCUUGAUCAUAAAUCCACAAUUCAUCGGAUCUCGACAAACACACCGCAAAAAGAAUUACAUCGAAUAGAUCUCCAAGAGAAUCGAGGAGAACUUUGUAUUGAGAUCCAAAGAGAGAGAAGAAGCCAUCUAGCUAAUAACUAUGGACCCGAAGGUCUGUGGUAAACUACUCACACAUCAUCGAAGAGGCCAUGGUGUUGAUGUAGAAGCCCUCCGUGAUCGAUUCCCCCUCCGGCGGAGCGCCGGAAAAGGCUCCAAGAUGGGAUCUCACGGGUACAGAAGGUUGCGGCGGUGGAAAUAGGGUUUCGUGGUGCUCUCGGAUGUUUUCGGGGUAUAUGAGUAUAUAUAGGCGAAAGAAGUAGGUCGGUGGAGCCACGAGGGGCCCACGAGGGUGGGGGCGCGCCUACCCCCUGGGCGCGCCCUCCUACCUUGUGGCCGCCUCGUUCCUUCCUUGACGUCCACUCCAAGUCUCCUGGAUUGCGUUUGUUAAAAAAUAACUCUCACGAAGGUUUCAUUCCGUUUGGACUCCGUUUGAUAUUCAUUUUCUGCGAAACACUAAAAUAGGCAAAAAAACAGCAAUUUGCACUGGGCCUUUGGUUAGUAAGUUAGUCCCAAAAAUAAUAUAAAAGUGCAUAAUAAAGCCCAUUAAACAUCCAAAACAGAUAAUAUAAUAGCAUGAAAUAAUUAAAAAUUAUAGAUACGUUGGAGACGUAUCAAGUCUACGAGUGUUUUUUCAUUUUGUGGAUUUUUUCUUACAAGUACAACGGAAGGUCAACUUUAUUUCUAAAAUAUUUUCAGAAGUUUUUAUUUAAUUACUAUUUUUUCAUAUAGGGUGUAUAUACACCUAUAGAUCAAAAGUUUCCCUUCGAUUUACAACCACAAUGACCUAAUCUGGGGCCUAUAUGUCCGCGGUCGCGUUCGGGCCCGUCCGCGCACAAUGACCGAGCAAGCAUUCAAAGUCAGCGUCCACAACCGGAUCCAUCAAAUAAAAUCCUCAAAUUCAUACUCCGAAUAAAAGAACAAUUUUGCUAAAGCACAUCUAAAUGUGUCAUAAAUAUUACACAUCUAAGUCUUAUGUCAUUGAUCUUGCGCGGAGAUUCGUGUGGGUAUUUUCUUUUUCUUUUAUACUUGAUUUAGUCACUUAGAUGUGCAAUUUAGACGUGCCCUAGACAGAAGAACUACUACUUCCGUAUAUAGGGAAAUUUGCUAAGGAUCCAAAUCUUACAAAAUUCCUCUCUACUUACUUAUAUAGUACUCCCUCCAUUCCUAAAUAUUUUUUUUUAGAGAUUUCAAUAUGGACUACGUACAGAUGUAUACAGACGUACUUUAAAGUGUAGAUUCACUCAUUUUGUUUUGUAUGUAGUCCGUAGUGGAAUCUCUAGAAAGACUUAUAUUUAGGAAUGGGGAGAGUACUUAAAAAAGGUGUUCUUUUCCAAAGUGAUUCGUCCAACCUUACAUACGUUUUUCCUCCUUCUUUUCAUUUUGAUUUUCCUCUGUCUUUGGGGUCUUCCACCGAUUUCCCAUGAAAACCGUCUUAAAUAUCCCACCUUUUAUUGAGUUAACAAAUAAAAUUAUGUUGUCUUUCAUAAACCAAUAAAAAAGAUGAAAACAUGAUUUUUAUUUAGGUAGUCAUCGGUAGCACUUUAUAAACACUUAUUUACAACCCAUCAGGGUUUAAGUAAUAGACUUGGCACCGGUGCAUACAUUUUUCUGGAUUUAUUUUAGACAUUCUGGCAACGUUUGUUCGGCUAGAGGAGACGUUCCCCACGACUACGAGACGUCUGUGGUAACUUCGUUAAUCUUAAUAUGUUGCGUCAGCUUAGUAUCUUUGGGUGAGUAUAUGCAUGCGUAUGAGAGCAUCUGCGAUUGUAUUGUGUUCCAAAAUAAUAUGGGUAGGUAAAUCAUGGACUAACAUACUAGAAUAUUUAUAGCAUGUGACAACGCAUGGGUAAUUAUCUUUGUCAUUUAAAAAAUAGUGCCCUCCUAUUUUAUUCAUCAUUUUAUUUCUAAAUCAUCUUAACUAUUCCAUCUUUUAUCGUCUUAUAAAAUAAAAUUAUGUUUUAUUUGAUAAGUCAAUAAGUUCUUACCAUAUACUCUAUUCAUUCGGAAAUACUUGUCGAAGUAAUGGAUGGAUGUAUCCAGACGUAUUUUAGUUUUAGAUACAUAUAUUUUUAUCCAUUUCUCCGACAAGUAUUUUCGGACGGAAGGUGCAAUUGUUUUUUGUUUAGGUAGAUAAAUCACGGGCGGAAAUUUAUAAAUAUUUAUUUGUAUAAUCACAUCAGGGCAAGUAAAAACACAAGCUAACAUAUUAAAUAUUUAUAUCAAUGUGGCAAUGCACGGAUUAUUGUCUAGUGAAGGAAUGAAUAAAAGGAAGACGAGAGACCAUACUGGAUGAAUAUCCUUUUUUGUGCGGAAAAGGGAAUUCCCAUUCAUCAAUUAGAGGUGUUACGUGCAGUGGCGGAGCUAGCGAGAUAUUACUGAGGGGGCAAAUAGCCAAAUAUAAUUGCGUGGAGAAGCCAAAUACUGUAUUUAUCUUAAUUUGUGUCAUCCUAAAUGGUGUUUCUUCACAAAAUAAUCAUGGGCUGGGGGGCCAUGGCACCCGUAGCACACCACAUAGUUCCGCCAGUGGUUACGUGUAAGGGAGAAUCUCCUCCGGUGCAUGGUGUACCCAAAUAGCCGUACGAGUCGUCAUACCCGUCUGAACAAGCUUAUGGAUGACAGUGUUGCUACUAGAAUUUUCUGUGAUCCCUCUCAAAUUCUGACCUGGUUACCGAAAAUUUUGAGUUAGGCCUAACAAACUAGAAAGAGAACGGUACAUGUUUAUAUUCUAUACACAACUAUACUAAAAGAAGAUACUUAUGAUGUUUACAAUUUCCAAAAAGGAAUAUUCAACAAGUUUUGUGGAUACAUAACAGUAGUUUGUUAGUAAAACCACGAAUAGAAAAUGUGAUAUACUCCCUUCUUUCCGGUUUAUUGGGCUCAUCUCAUUCUCUUAGCUUUUUCCUAUUAUAAGUCUUAUUUUCAAUUCUUUCCAUCAUGUGUUCACAUUUCAAGGUGCAUUAAAUUGACGCACGCAAGAAUUAAAAGAAACCAACCAAUGCAUGUAACCAUUCUACUCAUUUAGUGGUCAUCCAUGCAUAUACUGCAAUUAAUGCAGAUUAAAGUUUGAGUAAUUUUAAAACUACGAGAUAUAUUCCUCCAUUCACCAUCUACCUUGGUUGAUGAGAUUUCAGAUUUAAACCCUGUAAACCGGAAAGGAGGGAGUAUCUCCAUUGACAAGACAUGAAAAAGUCAAAUUGGUAGCACGUGGCAGACAACAUUUGGUAGUUCCUGGUUGUAUAUACACCAUAUAUGAGAAUUUUCCAAUAACUACAAAAAAAGUAUAAAAAAAGUUUAGACUUUUUUGGAAUAAACUGGAUUUUUGUGCACUAGUAUAUAGAUUUUGUCAAGCAAAAACCAAGCAUUGACUUCAGGGCAGAAAAACAAAAUUUAUUUGCUAUUAUAGGUCCCUAUUUACACUAUUUUGGCUGUAAAUUUUGUUUUUUUAAAGAAGUCAACGAGGGUUUUUCAUUUUGUGGAAUUCUUCUUACAAGUACAACGGAAGGUCAACUUUAUUUCAAAAAUAUUUCAGAUUUUUUAUUUAAUUACUAUUUUUUAUAUAGAAUGUAUAUACACCCAUAGACCAAAAUCCCCCCUUCGCUCUACAACCAGUUACCUAAUCUAGGGCCUAUACGUCCGCGGUCGCGUUCAGGCCCUCCGCGUUCAGGCCCUCCGCGGACAAUGACCAGGCAAGCAUCCAAAGUCAGCGUCCACAACCGGAUCCAUCAAACCAAAUCCUCAAAUUCAUACUCCGUAUAUAGGGAAAUUUGCAAAGUAUCCAAAUCUUACAAAUUCCUGUGACAUUCCUUUGAAUCAAAUGAACCCUAAGUACUGACAGAGUACGAGCAGACCCUACGGAAAGGAGGAAAAACACGGCCCCCCAAGGUUGAAUCCUCGCCGACACAGCGCGGCUCCGUCAGGGCACCAGCCGCCGAAGGAUGGCGGCGCUGGCCGCGAGCCGCCGCCUCCUCCUCAUGCUCCGGCCGGAGCUGGAGCCGUGCCUGCACUCCCGCGCCCUUAACCCCUAUUCCGGCCGGUAACCCCUCUCCCUCGAACCUCCCCUCCCCUUUCGAUUUAGCGUCACCCGGCCUCAGACGGUUGUUUGCUCGCAGGGCGAGGUGGGCGGGCGGCCUCCGGCGCGCGCCUCCGCUGGUGAGCUGCCGGCGAGGUUUCUCCGACGAGGGGGGCGCGUACGCCGGUGAGAGCCGCAGCAGAUUCCAAGUCUUGCUCGUCAGGCUGUGUGUAUUAAAAUUCAGACGUGUGACAUUGCUUCUGGGUUCUUUACCUGACAGCGAAGAACAAUGCUCCGGACGAGCAGUUCCUGCAGCUCUCGUUGGACGAGGGAGAAGGCGAUGACGUGGUGCCUGGAAUCAGCGAAAGCGUGGUGAAGGAUGCGAAGAAGAGCGCCAUUGAGCUGCUUGCUGUCAGGUCAGCACUGAUAGACUGUGUUCUACUGUUACUGAAUAUAUAUCCACCUCUGGCGGUAUCAGAGGAAUCUCUCUGAAAACCUUCAUAGAAGCAAUGCGUGAAUGUUCCUUAGGCGAUGUUUGCCCCUGAAUUCGCCGCGAUAGGUCUCGGUGUGAACAUUGUGAAGUUUGCCUGUUCAUCUCACACACCGAGAUAGCUGGAAACCUGAGGAGAAUCAGUUGUAGAAAAAUAAAAGCAGGAUUUUGCUGCUUAGAAGUGAAAAACCUUUACUUUUGGGAAGACAUGGUUUAUUUAGGAUGGUCUGGAAGCCAGUGCUGCAAGAUAGCGUAUGCUAGUAGGCCGAAUAAUCUCUUCAACUUGCCAAUUUAUUGAGUGCCACACAGAGGAAAUUUUGUGCUUUGAAUUGCAGUCACUAUUAUUCACUUGUACGGUUAGCGCUUGUAUACCGCUGUUGAAACUGGACACUGAAAUAAGCCUUUUUGUUUAUCUUGAGCAGGGCAUUCAGUGUUUCUGAGCUCAGGAAGAAACUAUGUGGUAAGAAUUAUUCUGUCGACACAGUCGACUCUGUGAUUGCUGAUUUCAAGUCAAGGUAAGACUCCCGUUGGAUAUCCUGACAUGAAAAUGUGAAUAAUAGUCAUGCAUUGGAUCAUCGUCAUAGUUGAAUCACUAUUCACUAGCAUAUUAUGCAGAAUCAUUUUCACGAUCAUUAUGUGGAAUAAAUUUGCAUGCCUUCUUUGUUCCUGAAGGGGUCUGUUGAAUGAUGGUUAUUAUGCGGAAUCAUUUUCACGAUCCCGGUGGCAGUCAUCAACUUGGGGUCCAAGGCGUAUAAAGCAGGUAGUCUUUUCUCGCAUCUUCUCUCCCAAAUGAUACAUUCGGUGUCCCAUUCCUGAUUUUUUCACUGAAAUCCUCUGUAAUUAUAAUUGUCAUGUAUAGUUGUCGAAACACUUCCCGUUGACAUUAAUUUUUAUGCUUACUUUCAUGGAGAUGUUGCGAUCAUUCAUCAAGCAUCUCAUGUUUAUUUUCACACCAAUCAGGCGCUUCGCCAGAAAGGGGUGCCAGAGGCCGAAGUGGACCAGGCGACGAGGAGCGUGUUCCAGGACGACCGUGGUGACGAAGACCAGGCCUCACAUGGCCUCUCAGAAGCUUCCAUGGAUCAUCUCUUUGCUCAGGCCUCGAAGCAGUGGCUGCGAGGGAGCAGCUUGCCCCUGGAGAAGCGGCGUGCGCGCAUCGUGAGGUGGCUUCAGUACAGAGGGUUCAGCUGGGGCGUGACCAACUCCAUUAUCAGGAAGCUGGAGGCACAGCACCCCCCCUGACCUUAGCCUUCUGCUCUACAUUGUUUUCGUUGUAAGUUAGUGCGGUGUGGCAAGUAUCUGCUGCUAGAAGCAACCUCUGUCUGCUCAAUCUGGUUCCUGAUUAACAUGAUAUUGAUAUAAUGAUUGCUUUGCACCCUUCUUCAUAUUACCAUGACAUCAUAAUUGGAGAUUAGCUGGGAACACCUGAUGCACGUGGAAUCAGCGAAUCGCGCAUGAUGAACAGCGUAGAUGCAAGGUGAAAUAUAAGAAUGUCAUUGUUCAUGCAUAUUUAUCCGUACUUUGAUAACAGUGGCUGAAUGCCUGCAUCAUGUUCUCUCACGGCACCCAUCACGUUUUCAACUGAUUUUUGCAUGAAAUUUUGAUAACAGUGAACUCGGAAUACAGUGUGCACCAUGAACGGCAGACUCUUACCACCAAACUUACACAGAUAUACUAUGGGGCCGCAAAAACAGAAUUGCGACAAGAUAAGGCCACAGAAUGUGAAUUCCUCCACUAAACGGAGCAUGAGAAAGUUCUAACUGUAUAUUCACUGUAGCCAUCCAUCUAGCAUAAAAUCUAAAUAGAAAAGUAACAGGUUACGGUACAUUUACAACACUACAUUGGAAGAACUGUAUUGGUGCCUCGCUGCCCGGACACACUGCUUGAUGCUCCUCGGUUCGUCGGUUAUGAUAGGCGGUCCUGGAAAGCGCAAACGCAUCAGGAAUUGCAUCCAAGCAUCUUCUUUAGCAAUGACCAAGGCUGAUAAAGAGGAAUAUAGCAGGUUAAAGUUAGGGAUACCUGUACAGUCGGGCCAGUAUACAUGCCAGGGCGCAUGUUAAUGUACACAGGUGAGUUUAUGGCUUCAAUCCAGGCAUAAUUAUCUGGGCUGUCAACUGUCUUUGCGCGUCCGCUUGCUGCAGUUGUGCACCACACGAAUCAUGAGAAAAUAGAAGAUGCAAGAGCAGACUGGGAAUUAAGAGUAUCCAGACAAGAUGAAAAACCAUCAACAGCUCUAGGAUGUUGGGAUACUACAAUCGGAUAGUUUCUCAAACUGGGAAUGAACAAACAGAACAUAGAAGAAGGUUGGUUGGAGUACCUAAAUCACCAAACCUAUGAGUUAUGACACUAAACGGCAAAAACAACAUGUUUUGGCAAAUUAUAGUCGAUAUACCUCAGCUUGCUACUAUAGGUAGGAUCAGCAUGCAUUCCCCAGUGUGGCAGGUAAGUGAUGCUUGGCAUGAGCAGACCUAACCUAACCACCAAAGUUGGCAAUCUUGCUCACACCGAAGGGUAACGUAUGGUCCUGUAGAUCUAUAUGUACUCCAUGCCAUGUGCAUACCCAUACCGAGAGCCACUUCUGGAAAUAGUAGGCUGUUGAAUUUGCUAAGGACCCUAAAAUGGAUAUGUUCAGUGCUCCUCUUAGGGUGUUUCUGUGCUACUUAAGCCAAAAGAAAAAACAGAAACUAUAAACUAUGGGAAAACGUUUUUUGUUGAAAACCUGUACACAAUACACAUCUUCCAUGACUCAAAAUAUCAAGAUAUAACAGGAUUUACAACUCGAGAAACAAAAAAGACAAAUCUAACUGUGCAUAGUACACAACUCAAUUUUGUUGUGGACAGUAUAUGUCUGGUACUAUUCACCAUCUAAUUUCCUUUUUUGUUUCUUUAUCUAAGAACUGAGUUUUCAUAUAAAAUUUUGAGGCAUGGUAGAUGCAUCUUGCAUCAACGUUUCAGAAAUAAAAUCAGACUUUUUAUAAUCUUUUGGAUAUAGUUUUACAUGUAGAUAGCACAGAAGCACCAUAAGAAGGAGCAAGGGCCAUGUUUCAGUGUCCAGGGUCAUUUAAAUGCUCCAAAUACAGAUUACAAUUCCAUUAAAGAGUUUGUACAGAUGAGCCACCAUACUGGUGUUUGCUACAUCCAGUCUCUGAUUCAAAGUGAAAUCAACUGAUCGUUUGCUGCCAUCCUGUAACAUCACUUCCAUACAACAUAAUCCUAGAAAACCAAGAGUGAUCUCACACCUACACUAGUACUUUCAUGGGCAAGGGUGUGACCAAAUCAAUCAGUUGCAUUGUUUCCCUAUACCAAGGUUCCCGCCUUUUCAUAAACAAGAUGUACGAGGCAAUUAUUGUUUCUAGGAUCAUCAAACUAAAAGGCACACUAACAAAUAAUAUAUGCUUCCAGAGAUAAAUAUCUCUCAUGGAUGAUGCGUAGCUACUACCGAAGAGUGAAUUUAGUUAAGGAAUUAGCAAUGAUCUCGCCAUGAGAACAAAGAUGCGUUAUAAUGAAAAGGAGGAGUUUCACUUACAGAAGCUAGAAAACGGAUAAUCAUUAAAAUAGGUGCAAAUUCGACCAGCAUCUUCAGCAUAUGGUGGGGCAAGUACAUCAAGAACAGCACAAGAGGCAACUGAAGUGAAGGAGUGUAGGUUCCCGCCACUUUGGGGAUACAGAACGGUAGUUGGACAUGGAGCAGUAAGAACAUCAUCUGCAUGUAACUUGGCCAGUCUCACUGCAUAUGAGUAAUAAACAAAUUAAAUUAUUUCAGGCUAGCAAUACCCCUUUUGAAGAUCAGACUUUGAAAUAUGAUGAACACGUGGAAACAACCACUCUAAAAUGAUUUGAACACUGGUAAGUCAUAACUAACAUAUGUCAGCGGUCUGCCCGUCAAAAAACCCAAUAAAAAAGAACUAACAGAUUUAGGUGACGAAAUGCAGUGGUAUUGGACCAUUGGUACUACAACACAGGUACCGUUGACCAGUGUUCAUUAGUUUGCUACUUGGAAAGUGGAAACCAAGCAGAAGAAACAUUAUACUGUAAGAAAUAAGGACCGAACACAGACUCUGCAUGCAGUAUUUAUAACUGACAAGGUAUGAAAUAAGCAAAAUAAAUAUUGAACUUGAAGUAGAGCAAAAAAAUAACCUUGUCGAUUACUCGCUACAACAGUAGGCUCUACCCAGUCAUAUGAUUUCACAUGCAUCGAACCAUAUAGGAUUUUGCUCAGUACAGUCAUUCCUGGAUGAUCAUGAAGAGGAAUGACCGCUGAAGUUGGCAAGCAGAAUAUUCCAAUCUGCAUAAACACAUAGAAAACACCCAAAAAAAAUGUUAAUGCCCCCUACAAGCUAUUACUAGCAGGUGCCCUGUAGUAUCCCCGUAGUAAAAGAGUUGUGAUCAAGCAAAGAUGAAAAAAAUGUAGAAGAAACUACAAUAUGAAACUAUAGGUUCGUUGAAAAGAUAAGAUAGUUUGUCAAAGCUGAUGGCGGAGUCACAAUGGUAAACAUGGUCAGUUAUUACACAAGUUAAUAGUAGGUUGUGUGCCUCAACAAAUAAAUAUGGCUAAUAAACUACUCCGAAGUGGAUAUGUACUUACUCUGACUAUUAGAAAGGGAUAGAGCAUCUAACCAACAGUAUACUGGAAAUCUAGAACAGGCUUGAUAUCCUCGACAAGCAUUUGCUUGUUCACAAAGCAGCAAUGAGGUCACAAUCAACACUACUCUCGUCGGAAAUUCGAACGAUUGUCGGCAUGUAUGGAUCUAUGUCACAAAUUGAGCCAUCUGUCUCAAAGCAAUGGUUGUCUGGCGAGUGGUGAUUGCAGUGGCAGGAUAACCAAGAGCGCUUACAGAGAAGGCGUCGCACUCGUAGACGUGCAGGUAGGUGAUGGGCUGCGCCCACCUGGCCGCCCUGGCCGCGCCCUUGACGAAGGUGGAGUCGAAGAACCCGUGCCCGCCGCCGCCGUCCCCGAGGCUGUCGUCCCUGAGCCCGACGUCCGCGGGGCUGAUAGUAUCUGCACAUAACCGACCGCGCACAUUGAGAGGCAGAGACUAGGCGGGCAUGGAUGGACAGGGCGGCCAUGGGUAGGCAGAUGGAGAAGGGGAGGAGGAGGAGGGCCGGGGGUUACCCAUGAGGGAGGAUAUGGCGCGGACGGCGCUGGCCGGCGGAGGGGCGGCCGGGGCGGCGGCGGAGGAGGGGGAGGGGGAGGGGAAGGUGCGCCUGCAGAGGUCGUAGAGGGCCUGCACCCGCGACGACUGCGCCCGCGCGGGCGCGCCCCACGCCAUUGGGUCGGAGCUGGGGCGCGCAGGCGGCGCUUGGAUUGGAUGUACCCGGCCGGCGGCGAGCGCGGCGGGGAGACGGCGAAGGGGGUCGGGUGGUCUGGUCUCGGGGGGAAACGAUACGAUAACGAGCGGUUUUUCUGGUGGGUGCGGCGUGCUGCGGGCGGCGCCCACUGUUUGGCCUUUUUCUGGUUUCGUGUGCUCCCGAGCGCCCUCCAUCCAUCUCGAGGUGACAAAUCUCAGCAAACACUUCAAAAAAAGGUUGUGCGUCUCCGCUUCAAAUGUGGACCGGCAAAAGUGUUUCCUUCCUGUGCCACUUCAAACGGCCUUGUUCUCCGGUUACCAAAAGUUUCCUUGUCGAUGGACACCACAGCACAUUGAAUACACACGUUGUGGAGAGUCACUAUGAUUUCAUACAUCUUAAAAUCUCUCUCGGCAAUAAGAGCAUCUACAGCCAGACGCUCCAAACCCGUCUUAGGUGACCGGACGGACGACCCGGUCACUGACUGGUCGCAAAAAUUCAACCGAGACGAGCACCCCUCAUAUCCAGCCUAAAUAUGAGGCAGAUAUAGGGGCGUCCGGGCGCAUCCACCACGCCGGACACGGCCCAGGCUGGCCCACCAAACCCCACAUAUGCUACUCCUCGUCUGCUCGCCGGGCCAAACUCUAACCACUUCAGUUCACUCCUCUCCGACACCCAAGCUCCCAUUCGACGAUCUCGGGCCUUCUUCGGCAUGGCCGGCAGCAGAUUCGAGUGCUUCACCUCCAGAUCAGUUGACCCCGAGCUCAUCCCACGCGGCCCCGAGGAGGAGAUGGUCGUUCGGCUUCCGCUCCACGGCUCCCGGGAGGAGGCCCGUGCGAGGCAGCGCUUGGACUCCUUCCGUCGGGAAUCCAUUGCGUCCGCCCAAGUGGCGCAUGGAUCCGGCACUAGGUGUGCCGUCACUGCCUCACCAGAAGUGGUGCGGCCCGUCUGGCAUCCGAAUGCGGUGGCGGACUUGCAACCCCUCCGUUGGCACGCUGAGGCCAUCAUCCGAUGCAAACAUGACGCGGUGUGCCCCGUCGUGCGAGGCGGCGGCAGCCCUCGUGGGGGUGGACGUCGGCGAGGCGGAGUCACAUUCUCCGACGCCCCGUAUGGUGCACCAGUUCGGGCGCCGUAACCGCGUCGUGGUGGAUGUUGUCGGCUCGCCCCAGGACGGAUCCAUCAUCGAUCUGACGUCCACCAGCACCGUCCGGGUUCUGGGCUCCGACGAGGAAGAGUAGGGGCAUGGGAGAUGGCGUCGCCUUGAGUCCCAUGAGCCGGCUCGUGUCCCAUGCCCUAACCUACCUUGCCGGCGACUGGACAAACACUCUGGGGAGCACCGCCGGACGUGGGCACGGCAGAACCGGGCGAGAUCCCGCUUAGAUUAGGUUUCACGUUGCAUGUAAUACUAUGGAUUUGAGGUUUCUAAUUUGAGAUGUCCGGUUAUAGAAUCAAAUAUUGAGGCAUGACCGACCACUGUCCACGGACACGUCCGCGGGCAUUUGAGGGGUCAGAUUUGCCAAGUUCGGCUAUAGAUGCCCUUAGAAUUGAGACUUAUAAAGAAAAUAAAGUUUUAAGAUAAGCCCUAUAAACCAGAAAGGAGGGAGUAUUUUCAGUAUAGAUAUCUGGCGAACGUUCGCUGGGGCUAGGAUCCCGGCAAACACCCAUGGAUUUGACGGUGGUAAUUUUGUAAAAUGACAACCCUAGGCAGAUAAAAUGCCAUCCGGGAUGUUCGCACUUGUCAUCUCUCCUCGUGACCGUUGACCAGGGAUUGGGGUCCUUUAUCUUUUAGAAACAGAUUAGGGAAAGCAGACCUCACAACCACAGAUAUGUGUACUCACUUCUAUGAAUACACACAUGUACCAUGGAGUGUGUUUGAACCUUGUGAUUUUUAUCCACAUCCUUGGGAUCUGGCUUUUAGACUUUAGGAUGAUGGAGCUGGGCUUAGUUGGUUUUGUGGGUCAUUGGUCGGUAUAUGGCCGAUAGCCCAUGUGAGCUAUUGGGGCUGAUGACUCUGUGCCUUUGUCCAUUUGGUCUGUAAUAGGUCAUAUGUGCCGUUAUCCCUAAAAAAGGUCAUAUGUGUCGUCAGUUUUUAAAUUUUAGUAGUUAGACAAUGUGGUUGUUGUUAAUAGAAUUCAAAGAGGGGGCCCUCCUUGUACAAAAAAACACAGUUUCUUUACCAUCAUAUAUCAUGUUCAUUGUGAAUGUGUCCUACAAUAUGCAUCACAAUGAAACUACCAUCCCUGAUUCAUCCAAUGGCAUGUACAUCAAACAUCAAACGAAGCAAUCGCUACAAUGACAUAUGAGGCAAGAAUGUCGUCAAUUUCGUCGAACGGGACCUAGACAUGCCCGGUGCCAGCGCAUCCCGACGUUGUCCGCUCCCUUUGGAGUUGUGGAGAGUUGUACACCGUGUUGCGGCCCCGUCCUCUUUCGUCCACGUCCAGCCAUCCGGAAUGCCUGCCCGCUGGGAGGCUGGAACGGAGUUUGGCUCGGACGACGGCUAGUUCCUUCUCGCGGUUGUGGAGGUGGUAGCCGGGCCGGACGUGCCCAAGUCCAUUCACCGGCCUUGUCCGGUUGCGUAGGUGCAAUGCGUUUUCGAAUGGACUACUUUCAGGGUGUUUUUUAAUGGAUGAAAACAAAUUCGAGAAGUUCAAUUUAAGAGUUUGGCUUUUCAGGGUUUAAAUUUUGAGAGAUCCAGUGUGAUGGUAGUUCCAACAAUUGCUUCCGGCCAUUUCAGCCUCCUCGUUCGUUUCCUCCCACGCACCGGUCUCUGGUUUAUCGAGGUCGUUCAUUUCCCGGCCGGUCGGUUUGCCCAGCCAGGCGACGGCGACCAACCACACCCCGUUCCGUUCCAAACGCGCCGAAAACGUAACGGAAUCCGCUGCCCCCCGCUCCCCUCCCCUCCGUUCCGUUCCGUUCCGUCACCCCCGGCGUCGUGCUCCCCCGUUUCGUCGCGGGUGGGCCCCGCCGGCCCGCCGACUCCGUCCAAAAAGAGAGAGGGCAGAGAGCCCAGCGACCCCAGAGGAAUUCGAGAUUUCUCCCCCCACACCCCCGGCCGGAUCCCCGCCCCCUCCGAUCCCGGCGAUGGACGUCAACAUGCGCGAGCUGGCGGCGCGGCUGACGGCGGCGGCGUCGGCGGGGGCGCGCGCGGCGGCGGCCGCCGCCCGCCCCACCAGCCCGUCGCGCCCCCGCACCCGGCCGCGGGGCCUCGACGAGGAGACCUGCGCCGCCACGCCCGCCCCCUCGGCCGCGGCCGCGCCGCCCGCCGACGUCCCCAUGGACGCCGACGUCUGGGCGGCGCUCCCGGACGACCUGCUCCUCGAGGUGCUCGCCCGGGUCCCGCCCUUCCUCCUCCCGCGCCUCCGCGCCGUCUCCCGCCGCUGGGCCGCCACGGUGCCGCGCGGCCCGGCCUUCCUCGCCGCGCACGCCGCCGCGCCCUCCCACGGGCCCUGCGUGCUCGCCUUCGCGCGGGGCGGACCGGCCCCCGCCCACUGCGCCGCGCUCAGCCUGCCCCUCCGCGCGCGCUACCGGCUGCCCCUCGCCUUCCUCCCCGCCUGGGACCUCUGGCUCGUCGGCUCCUCGGGGGGCCUCGUCUGCUUCUCCGGCUUCGACGCCUCCUCCGUCUUCCGCACCCUCGUCUGCAACCCGCUCACGCAGGCCUGGCGGGUGCUCCCGGAGAUGCAUCACAACCAGCAGCGCCAGCUCGUGCUCGCCGUCGACAGGAGGCUCCGCUCCUUCAAGGUCAUUGCCACCAGCGAUGUCUACGGGGAGACACUCCCCACCGAGGUCUACGACUCCAAGGCGGACAGAUGGUCCGUGCACCAGAUGAUGCCCGCCGAGAACCUCUGCUCCUCCAAGAUGGCCUUCUGCGACUCCCGGCUGUACCUGGAGACGCUCUCGCCGCUCGGGCUCAUGAUGUACAGAGUGGAUGCGGGCAAAUGGGAGCAUAUACCAGCGAAAUUCCCCCGGUCGCUGCUCGACGGGUAUCUCGUCGCCGGAGCUCGCAAAAGGUUGUUCUUAGUGGGGAGGAUCGGGCUUUACAGCACCCUGCAGAGUAUGAGGAUCUGGGAGCUGGAUCAUGGCAGGACUGUCUGGGUGGAAAUAAGCAGGAUGCCGCCCAAGUACUUUAGAGCUCUGUUGAGGUUGUCUGCUGAGAGAUUUGAGUGCUUUGGGCAGGACAACCUCAUUUGUUUCACCUCGUGGAACCAGGGCAGAGGUCUCCUAUACGAUGUUGACAAGAAGGCUUGGUCGUGGAUUGCUGGCUGCGCAAGCCAAUUGUGCAAUACCCAGUUCUGCUUUUAUGAGCCAAGAUUUGACACAUCGAUCUAUUGAUGGUUGAGCUGCAUUGCGAAGAUUUCAGCUCAGAUGCUUUUAGGUUUGGAGUUCGGCAUCCAGAUGCCUGUUUGAUGUUCUAUUGGAUCAUUCCUGUUAGCUGUAUCAAUUGUCAAGUGCUAGGUGAAUAGUGUCUUCUUUGAGCCAAUAAUUUAGAGCAUUUCUAGUACUUGACUUGAGCCACCAAUUUUCUCAAGUCAUGCCAUCGGAGAUCCUUCACUACUCCAGCAAUUAGAAGUAUCGUUACAAAUACAAUUGGAGGUCCGCCUGUUCCCAUUACCAUUUUUUUAGCAAACAGUGACUUGUAAGUGGUUACAUUUCCAUAUCUGAAAUGAAAAGGAUCUCGUGCUGUUUUAUCCGAAUAGUGUUUGAUUUGUAUUUUCUUUUAAGUUAAAAACAUGAGUUCACUUGAUCUGUGAUGGCAGUUAACCAUAUGAGUGAGCAUAUGAUACCUGAAUGGUUUCAUUGGAAUAUCAACCAUAUGGUGUAUCGGUUCUUUUGACAUAGAAAACAGUCUAGUCCUUCUCAGCUUUGAUAUGCAUACCUGUAACAGAAUGAGGCAACAUGUUUUUGUUUUGUAUGCAUGACUACAUGGUGAACUGAGUCCUCCUGAAUAGAUAGACUGACUUCAUUUAAACUCAGUGUGUGGUUUAGUUGUUUGCCAGUGAUUCCACAAAGGCAUUAUAAACAGCGUCCUUAAUUAGCUAUACAUUUGCCCAGCUAAUCAACUGAACACUAGCAAAUGUUCACAACUUUUCUGCAUCCACAAAUAUACCCCUGAAUGUGAAUGUUCCAUUGACAUAUGAAGGUUGCAGCUUUCAGAGUCUAGGAUCAUCACUCGAAAGCCAAAAUCACACUCUCCUAUUUGCGUAGUAUCAAUAUUCCACUGACAUAUACAGGUUACAGCUUUUAGGUUCACUAUGAUCAUCUACUCCAAAG
rnacentral:lncRNA from 1 species